CCAACAUGGAUACCCUGGGAAGUCACUCUCCCCAGGCUCUCUCCAGGUAGUGUAGGGGAGCACAGGGCUCUGCCCCAUGUUGUACAGUCCCUUUCCACAAUGUUGGAGAUAAAGCCAGGCCUUGUUUGUACCUGCAUAUUCCUACAGCUUCUCAGGGUCCUAUAGACAAUGACAGGAGAGACAAACCAUGCAGGAAACAGCU
ensembl:snoRNA SNORA73 Small nucleolar RNA SNORA73 family